rnacentral:pre_miRNA from 1 species
GAACUUGCACGAAGAGGCAGAGAGUGUAGUGCAGCCAAGGAUGACUUGCCGGCAUUAGCCAAGUGAAUGAGCAUCAUAUAUAUAUAUAUAUAUAUAUAUAUAUAUAUGACUCAUGUUCUUGUCGGCAAGUUGGCCUUGGCUAUAUUGGACUCUCUUCUUUUCAUGUAAGU